CAGAGUUCAUGCCCUCCGGGUAGAUCUCCCACCCACUGUUAUCAUUA
rnacentral:rRNA from 1 species